GCCUUGCCGCCCCAGACCACCGAGAGCUGGGGGCAGUGUGCGGUCAGACAGCCGGGCCCGGGAUGCAGCAGGCCGCGCGGCCUCGCCUUCGUCUGGCCCUGGAGCGUCUCCAGGUGCCCGGGUGGGGCCGUGAGCGCCCAGUCAGUCGCUCCGGCAUGUGGGCCGCGGGUGGGGCGGCGCGGGCGGGCCGGGGCUGAGGGACACUGUUUGCCAACAUCUCAGCCGGAGUGUUUGUCCAGCCAGCCUGUGCCGCUCGCGGGCACCUCGGCCUUGCCCUCCCUUCCUGCCCCGACAGCUUCUGGCGGCCCAAGUGGACGUGGCGUUGCUUGGGUCAACCUCGGAAGCGCGCGCAGGGCCCUGCACGGGUUCACAAACGGCAUUGUGGACGGUGUCUUUGGUGCCAGGAGCCAAGAGCCAGUUCGCUGAGUUAUCGCCGCAGUCACUAGGAUUGCCGCGAGUCUCCGGAAGGUCUGUGGGUGCGUGCAGGUGCCAGCCCAGGGAGGCACACCUGGAAGCCAUUUUCAAGAACUUUUGCCACAGGUGUAAAAGACUCCAGGCCUGAGAAGAUGCUGAAACAGAUACUGUCGGAGAUGUACAUAGAUCCCGAUCUCCUGGCAGAGCUCAGCGAAGAACAGAAACAGAUCCUGUUCUUUAAGAUGAGGGAGGAACAGAUCCGCCGAUGGAAAGAAAGAGAAGCAGCAAUGGAAAAAAAGGAGUCGUUGCCAGUGACAUCCAGGCCAAAGAAAGAGAACGGCAAAUCUGUUCAUUGGAAACUGGGAGCUGAUAAGGAAGUCUGGGUCUGGGUGAUGGGUGAACACCAUCUGGAUAAACCCUACGAUGUGCUCUGUAAUGAAAUUAUUGCCGAGAGAGCCCAGCUGAAAGCAGAGCGGGCAGCAGAAGAGUGCAGAAAAACUCAGUCCGAAGAAUUUGCCAAUAGCUUGAAAACAAAAUCACAAUAUUAUGAUCUGCAAGCACCAGAUACCCAGGAGACUCAGAAUAUCUAUACGAAAGCAGCAGAAGAGGAGGGACUGGGGAAGGGCCCUAGACCAGCACCACUCCUUGAAGAAGAGAAAAUUCCAUCACUCUCCAGUUCCUCAAGAAAUAUUCAACAAAUGUUGGCAGAUUCUAUCAAUCGUAUGAAGGCAUAUGGAUUUCACCAGAAGAAAGAAUCUGUAAAGAAAACGCAAGAUGAAGAACUAAAACAAAUAGAUGAGGAGAAAACCAUGCAGAUUUAUAAAAGCUGGAAAGAAGAUUCAGACUGGCAGGCGUCUCUGCGAAAAUCCAAAGCAGCGGAUGAGAAGAGACGCUCUUUGGCGAAGCAAGCACGGGAAGACUACAAGAGGUUAUCCCUAGUGGCUGAAAAAGGAGGAAGCAAUGAGGAACCGCGAAGUCCCCCAGGUGUUCCACAGAAACCAAAAAGACCCCCCCUUCCACCCAAGCCUCACUUCCUAAGCCCGGCGGGAUACCCUCGGAAUCCUCUUGGAAAGCAGGGAGUGACGAGGACGGCAUCCGGCUCUGCCCGGGAGGACAUCAUUCGGUGGUUUAAAGAGGAGCAGCUGCCACUGCGAGCAGGCUACCAGAGAACGUCAGACACCAUAGCUCCCUGGUUCCACGGGAUUCUUACAUUAAAGAGAGCAAAUGAGCUUCUGAGCACAUGCGAGCCGGGCAGUUUUCUGAUCCGCGUCAGUGAAAGGAUCAAAGGCUAUGCCCUGUCCUACCUCUCCGAGGACGGCUGUAAGCACUUCCUUAUAGACGCCUCGGCAGACUCCUACAGCUUCCUGGGCGUGGACCGGCUGCGGCAUGCCACCCUGGCGGCGCUGGUGGACUACCACAAGGAGGAACCCAUAACUUCCCUGGGGAAAGAGCUCCUUCUGUACCCCUGCGGUCAGCAGGACCAGCCACCCGACUACCUGGAGCUCUUCGAGUGACAGCCUCCAUCCUGUCAUCCCGCACCCUCCAGCCGGCCUUCCCUCUGAGUAAACGCUGCUGAACUAGACCUUUGUGUGUGAAGCCAAAUUAGCCUGCAGCAGCGCCAACACUGAUCACCGGGAAGUGCCCCGGGAGCCCCGUGGAAAUCUCUCUUCUACACAAAUGCUGGCGUUUAUUCACUCCGAAAAUAAAGGGAGAUGAUCCCCAAUUUCAGCAACUACCUAACACGAAGGAUACAAUCUUAAUGAUGUAUAUAAAAUGAACAAAGAAGACAUUGAAACCUUUUAGGAAUUAAGGCAUACUUCAAAAACCAGUAGCUGCUGUGAACUAUUUUAUGACCUCUAUGCUCCCUCUUUGCAUCAUUUCAAAAUGUCUCAGGAUUGUGUUAAGUUCCAUGUUGGCUUCGGGGAGCUGGCAGAAAAGGCUUCACUGGUGGGUGAAACAACCCUGCAAACACACUUCAUUUAUUAUGCAUGUUGGAGGUAGGAUGUAAGAAAAAGACAUGGAAAAACCAAAGUUGGGAAUGUAAAUUGAAUGAGGAGUUAAAACCGUAGGAGGAGAGGCUUAACGCGGCAGGAAAUACUGCGGACUGUAGGGAGUGAGCGUUUCCUCGUUCUGGACAACAGGACAGUGCUCGCCCUGUCUACUCUGGCCCCCUCCAAGAGCACACCCCCAAGGGUGAAGCACGCACACACGUGAGGUGCUGUGUGUUAGUGCUGACAGACCAGCACAGAGGGCGCGCUGUUGCAGGACUACUUGUCCUGGGUGGGAUGGUGUCCCCAGGAAGAUAGGUGGAAGUCCCAAACCCUGGUACCUGUAAAUGUGACCUUAGUUGGGAAGAGAGUCUUUGCCGAUGUGAUCAAGUGAAGAUGAGUUCCUGCUGAACUCAGGUGGACCCUCCACCCAAGGACUGGCAGCCUUAUAGGGAGAGAGGGAUUGGGGAACAGAGACCCGCAGAGGGGAGGUGGCCAUGGGACCACAGAGGCACAGACUGGUGAUGCGGCUGCAAGCCAGGGAAUGCCAAGGAGUGCUGGCCACCCCCACAAGCCAGGACCCUCCCCGGAGCCUUAGAGGGGAAUGUGGCCUUGCUGACACCUUGGUUUCAGACUUCAAGCCUCCAGAUCUAUAAGAGAAUAAAUUUCUGUUGUCUUAAGCCACUGAGUUUAUGGUAAUUUGUUAGAGCAGCCCUUGGAAACUCACACAGAAGUUCACGUCAUUACAGAAGCUGAUGGGCAUCACGUACCAUCUGUGGCUCUACUGCCUGCCCUCCUGCUAAGGAAAGAAGAGGGGAGAGGACAGUAAGCGCCCAGCCGGCUCUGCUCCGCUCUGGGGUGCAGUUUGCUCCAUCAGGAAUCUUAUGCCCCGCUGUGUCCGCACGCCCCACCUGCAAGCAGCUCUCGGCGGGCCCAGCGAGGGGACCGGGUUCAGCGCCGCGUCCAGGAUGCUCUGAGCCGAAGUCUUCUGGGAGGAUGGAGGUUUCCUUGCGCUCCCGGCCUAGUUCCAACGUCAGCAGUUUUUCAAAGGAAGCAGACGUUGUGGCAGUUUGUCAUGAGUUUCAGGUGUACCACACAACGAUUUGACAUGUGAAAUGUUUGUGAAAUGAUCGCCACUCUGAAAAGAUGGACCUUCAUAAAGUCGUCCUUCCAGCUGAGUCAGGAUCCCUCUACCACACCUGCCUCAACAACCAAACCACAUGGGGCUGGCUUUACCUGACCUCUUGCAGGUGCCCUCGGUGGUGUGCUGGAGCUCCAGACAAUGCUUCCCGAACACACGACUCUCUGCUGCUCCCGACAGCCCCACACACUCGAUUCUUAACCAACUGCUGAAACUCAAGUCUUCCUCACUGCCUCAGGCGUCUGGGAUAUGCAGCUGAAGGAAGCACGAAUGGCUGGUCAGAAACACAGAACGCAGCCAGCCAGGAGCCUAUGGUCUGCAGGACGCUUAGAGCUGCCUAACUCCACGGUCACAACACUCGCUCCCUGCCGCCAGUCUCGCUGGAAGUGCGUCCUCCCACCCAGGGGGAAUACGGGCAGGAGGGUGUGGGUCAGUCCCACAGAGCCAUCAGAACCACUGGCGAGAGAGGCCAGACGUGCCCUCAAUGUCUAGUAUCACCCUUGGGUAUGAAAAUAUGAAACCCAGUUAGAAAGGGACCUUAGAAAUCAUUUCUCAAUUUCUUCUAACGAAAAAGGACAAGUAAAAUGUAUUAGCAGCCAGGUUGAUCCUUGUGGUUCUCUCCUUCUAGACCAGUGGUCCUCAGCAGGGGGGUGGUUUUGUGCCCUCCCUCCAGGGGACAUUUGGCAAUGACCGGAGACAUUUGGUUGUCCACCUGGGUGAGAGAUGCUCAGGGACCCAGUGGGUGAAGGCCAGAGGUGCUAAAUAGCCUAGCACACAGGACAACCCCUCCCCCACCAAACAACAAAGAACGGUCUAGCCCAAAAUUUCUGUAGCAGGAACUCUGCUCUCUGCUCAUAAAGCAAAGUUUUCCCCAAACUAAAGACAUGGCAUUCGUGCUCCAAGAAGAAAUCAUAUCCACAAAUCACAUUUUAUUAGCUGUCCAAUGCCACCUUUCCAUUCAUGUCCUGUGUUUUAAUGAAAUUUUAUGAACUACCAGUACAAAUCAAUACAAUGCUUUUUUUUUUUUUUUUUACACA